CCUCUCUCUGUAUCUUUCCUGUAGCACUGGGCUCCCACAGCUGGGGAGCUGCUUUUCCCCUCUAGUGUGCGCUGAGACACCGGAGUGUGAGUGUGUGCAGAGAGAGAGAGAGAAGGAAGGAGGACAGAAAAAUCAGGCAGAAAGAUCAGUGGCUGGAGAGAGAGGGGGGAGAGCAUGUUGCCAGUGGCUCUUCAGCAGCAGCCUUCCUGUUUCCAUCUUCUCUAACUGCACCCCAAAGCCUCAGUCUCUUCUGCAGCCAGGGACAGUGAGAAGAACAAGAAAUUUUGAAAGGGGGGGAAAGAACCCCCAGGAACCUGCAAGUCUCUCCCAUUCAUUUUUUUCCUCCAGUUUUACCAUGAACCAGGCUCUUUCCUGUCUCUGAGGAGAAAUUAAAAAGCAGAAGGGGGAAUUCAGCAAUUCUUUGGUUGCUAAGUGUGAGUGACAACUGUUAAGCAUGGCCCAAGGAGCCACUGAUCAAAGUAAUGUGGAAACUGCUGACCCAGAGGAGAGUUCUCCAAAUAUGAUUGUCUACAGAAAGGCCUUUUGUGGUGUUGUGUCAAGCUGGAAGGAAUGAAGAAGUGUGUGCAGUAUCAAGAGAAAGUUAAAGAUAUGUAGUAAAAGGGAAAUUAAUUCAGAAAGAUGUUUACUGGUUUCCCAGUUUAUCUUAACCACCUUGUCUUGUGGUGAUGGUGGGACCAAGGAAGAGCUUCCUAUGCAAAUAUAACCAGAAAGCAUAACAUUCCAUUUCUUAAAUUAGAACAAUCCCUCUUCUUAUUUGCCAUUAUGUGCACUGCUAUCUGGUGUCAAAAUGUUAAUGCAUAUGAAUUUUGUGCAGGCUGAGGGAGCAGAAUUGUCUCAAAUUCAGAAUUAUUAAUGCUCUUCACUUUACCAUCUGGGGCAUACUCAUUUGAUUGCAGAGGAGAACUGUUUGGUAUUUGCAGGUAAUCCUUGUAUUUAUUUCAGUCUCCAUUUUGCCUAAUGAUUUUUGACAUUUCUCCACUGACCAGUGUAUACCUCUCUAAAUGUUAUUCCCCAGAGCAAAGGUAAACCUGCAGGCAUCUUCAGGUUUAACUCUCUAAUCCUGCCCACUGUUUUCUAACAAGAAUAUUUGAAAAUCCACAUACUUGUGCAGCAUGCCUGACAAACUAAUCAGCUUUUCACACUCACUAAUAAGGCUUUCCCAUUCUCUCUGCAUUUUUAUUCAAACUUCUCACCUAUUCACAGUGAAAGUCAUUGCAUUUUCUGCAUUGUUCACUUCCAGUGAGCUGCAUCACCAACAGCUAUGGUCAGUCUUUAUUUAAUCCAAAAAAAAAAAAGAAGCUUUGUUUGGAUUUGGAUGAACUUGUAUUAAAUCAAAGAAAAAUCAUUUAUCAAGUGCCUGGAAAAAUCAGAAGCAUUUUCUAAGAAUGGAUCUGUAAAGUGCUUUGCUUACUGGUAUCAUGUUGUUCAGCUUUUAUUAAUGGAAGUUGUUAAUAGCCAUUAACUCAGCAUGUAAUUUUUUUUCUGAUUCUGACAUUGGAGGUUCAAAUUCUCCAAAUCUGAACCUUUUUGCUUGACUUUUUUGUCAUUAAUUUUUAAUAUCUUAAUGUGCAAUCACAGUUCUUGGUUUUAUCUAAGACUGGAAACCGAGAUACCAAAAUGCACCAAAAGAUUAAUCCUGUGGUAUUUCUGAUCAGAAAGACAAAAAUAAUCUGCAUCGACAAACUGAACUGAACACUUUGAAUCAUCUGAGAUUAGAACAUAAGAAUGGCCCUACUGGGUCAGACCAAAGGUCCAUCUAGCCCAGUAUCCUGUCUUCUGACAGUGGCCAAUGCCAGGUGCCCCUAAGGGAAUGAACAGGAUGGAUAGUGAUCAAGUGAUCCAUCCCCGUCGCUCAUUCCCAGAUUAACUCAUUGCUCAUUCUCUUCAGUUUCAUAAUUUUGUUUAAAUGAUUCUGAUAUUGAGCACUUGAACUUAAAAGUGGCAGUCUUAGUCUGUCCAAACACUCUCUCCCCCCUCUUCCCCCCCCAAAAAAAACAAACAAUCAAACUGCUGUUUGCAUGAGGCUGUUAAAGGUUUCACUCUAUUGGGGCAAGAGAGAACUUGUCUAUUACAGGCUUGUGAUGUUAAAAGAAAAUAAUAUAAAAUAUUUGUAAUGAAAUAAAAUAAAAACUUUCCGUUCUGAUAAGGAUUUUGAUUUUUUUCUAAGCAAAUUUAAUUGAAAUAAACACAUUCCUGCAGAAUGUUUUUUGAUUUUGAGAAAUUGGCAGUUUCUGGCAAAAAAAAGUUCAGUUGGAAAAUUUUCAACUUGCUCUGCAUGGUUAUUUGGUUCAGGUGUGUUAUCCUCUUUGUUCGGUGAAUGUGAUAAAUUGCUAUUUAAAGGAUAUGACAAUAAAGAUGGUCCUUGGUCUAGUAUAUUGUGUACUUUGUGUCGCUUCCAUGCUAUUCAGUCCAUUGAAAGGGUGGUUCAUCCGUAUAGCUUUGUUUAGAGUGUCCCAAAAAGAGGUGGGUCCAGUGAAUAGAACAAAAAUACCAGCAGGCGGUAAGAUUCAUGUGAAUGUAUUGUGUGGAGAAAUGCAAAAUAAAACGAACUA